AGAUGCCAAGGUCAAAAGUCAUAAACCACGGUGUGCUUGCACAUAAGUGGUUUCGUGACUUUAUGACCCGCCCCAAUAUGAGGGUGCUGCGUGCCGGUGGCACGCGUUUAGCACCGACCGCAACGGAGUGUAGAAUAAAGUGGGGCGUAUGCCCCACGAUAUCCGAAUUUGGGGCAGAAUUGUGGGAGUGCGCAGCACGAAACAAUUCGUCAAGCAUCU
rnacentral:sRNA from 1 species